GGCGUGGUAUGGGAGCCUGGGAGACCACGUCGUCUGGAGGGCGAGCGGCUCCGCCAUCUAGCGGCAGAGUGAGGAAGCACAGCCAGUACGGGGAGAGUUUGGAAGCGCGCAGAGGGAACGGACUCCAGUUUUCCCGAGACUCCCCUGCAGAGAAUGGUGUUUGUCAUCUUGUGGUCAAGGCCAUAGGACCCUCAGCAUCGGACACACAGGAUGGAUUUAGUAGCCCUAACCUAGCACGUAGGAUGGUCUUUUUAUUUUAAU